GCCUGGGAGCGCCUCUCGCCCCGUCGCGUUUAUCGAGGACACAGAAAAGUUUGCCAACCCCUGGUCUUACUCCUCAUUAAGGUUUCCCUUCCUCUCCACCAUUCCCAAAUCUGAGUAUUCCAGAAGAGCUACUGUUUUUUUAAUUAUAUGGUAAAUUCAUUUCUAAAGGGAUUAAAAUGAAUACCUACCUGUUGUUAUGAAAAUAAAUGUGUAACAUAAAGCAAUCUGCAAAAUAACUGUUUUGCAGGCCUAAGACUUAUGCAGAGGUGGCGCCCGCCCGUAAUCCCAGCACUUCGGGAGGCCGAGACGGGCGGAUCGCUUGAGACCAGCCAGGACAGCAUGGCGAAACCACAUCUCUACAACAAAUACAAAAAUUAGCUGGGCGCGGUGGCACAGGACUGUGGUUCCAGUUACUCGGCAGGCGGAGGUGGAAGGAUCCCUUGAGCCUCUGGAGGUGGAGGUUGCAGUGAGCUGUGAUUGCACCACUGCACUCCAGCCUGGGCGACAGAGUGAGACCCUGUCAGAAAACAAAACAAAACGAAAGAAUUCUGUAAGAACUUCUAACAGACUCAGGGUACCCGCUGGGUGAUGUGGGGCCGGUUUCCCCAACAUCUGGCGCCCAACAUGGGGCUCCCCAUAAUCUCUACAAAUAAUCCAGUGAAGAAACGCCAGAGUAUGGAAAGUGGAGGACGACUGAUGAAGGAUGCCUGAGUACGUUUUUACUUCAGGCUCUAUGGGAGAGAAUCAGCUUCCUGUCUGGGUACCCACAAGACAUCUUAAGCUGUGCCAUGAGCCAGAAUCCAAGGAAGAGGAAAAGACCUCGGAAUGUCCCUGCACCCCUGGUUCAUCAGAUGGCUCAGAUGAACAUCUCUGUUGAGCAGAUGGAAACCAGUAAAACUCGCCAAACAAGUCCACUGACCUGUGGGCAGAUGAAGAGACUAGCUCACAUUGCAGACGAGAACCUGAGGUCUCAGAACAAGCUGCUGACCACCAGUAAUCUAAUGAUAGCUAUGAUGGCAGUAAUCUCCUUGGCGGUGAGUCUCCCCGUAGCUGAGGCAGAUCAAAAUUACAUUUAUUGGGCCUACAUUCCAUUCCCCCACUGAUUAGGUCUGUUACAUGGUUAGACCCCCGGAGGAGGUUUAUAUUAAUGAUAGUGUCUGGAUGCCUGGACCAACAGAUAACCGAGGUCCUACUUAUCCAGAGGAGGAAGGAAUGUUAAUGAAUGUUUCCAUUGGUUAUCGCUUUCUUCCCAUCUGCCUGGGGCCAGCAGCAGGAUGUUUAAAUUAUGAUAAACAAAUUUGGAUGGUUUAUGUCCCUGCACAUAAUGGAUCAAAAGCCUCUAUUCAUGCAAUCAGUGGAAGAACAUUUCAAUCUUUGGACACUAUUAAAUACCUUGAGCAUGGCUAUGUUAUGACACGUCGCCAGAUUAAUAAAUUUAAACCUAAUAAGAAGCCCUGCCCUAGGCAGGCCACUAAAUGGUCUGGAAAGCUAAAGGUGCUAACCUGGGAAGAUUGUAUUGCAAACAGUGAUGCUGUACUGCAGAAUAAUUCCUAUGGAAUCAUCUAUUGGGCCCCUAGGGGACACUUUGCAGUAAAUUGUACUGGACAGUGCAAAGAUUGUAGAGAGACUUCUUUUGCAAAUGACUACCAAGAUAAUGCACCAAAAUUAUAUAGAAUAAUUGAAACAAAUUACCCUAUUAAGUGGGAGGAAAACGGUAUGGCUCCUCCAAGCCCAAAAAUGAUUGAUCCAAUUAUAAGUCCAGCACAUCUAGAAUUGUAGAAAUUAAUGAUGGCUCAAACCCCAAUUUGGAUUUGGAAAGGAGAAUAUAAAACAGAGACCCAUAGUAAAAAACUUCGAUUUGUUGUAGCCAUGACCUCUAAUCAGUUGGUCCCAUUGCAGAGUUGUGUUAGACCUCCUUUUAUGUUGGCAGUAGGAAAAAUUAAUAUCCUACCUGACUCUCAAACCAUAUCAUUGCCUCAACUGUCAUCUUUUUACCUGCAUUAAUUCUACCUUUAAUAAAGAUAAUAGCAUUUUACUGGUUAGGGCCCAAGAAGGAGUUUGGAUACCUGUUUCCCUCAGUAGACCCUGGGAGGCCUCUACCUCCAUAUGUAUUACCACUGAAGUACUAAAAGGAAUACUUAAUAGAUCAAAGAGAUUCAUACUUACUUUAAUAGCUGUGAUCAUGGGCCUUAUAGCUGUCACAGCUACUGCUGCUCCUGCUGGUGUUGCUUUGUACUCUUCUAUUCAAACUGCGGGCUUUGUGGAUAGUUGGCAGAAAAAUUCUUCUAAGCUUUGGAAUUCCCAAAGCCAAAUAGAUCAAAAACUGGCAAAUCAAAUUAAUGAUCUCCAUCAAACAGUAAUUUGGAUGGGAGAUCAGAUUAUGAGCUUGGAGCAUAGAAUUCAUAUGCAACGUGAUUGAAAUACUUCUGAUUUUUGUAUUACUCCUAACUCUUAUAAUACCACUGAACACCAUUGGGUGAUGAUUAGAUGUCACCCACAAGGAAAAGAAGAUAAUUUAAUAUUAAAUUAAAUUGAAAAAACAAGUUUUUGAGGCAUCUCAGGCUCAUCUCACCAUGUUGCCUGGAGCUGAUAUUCUUGCUGGAGCCACUGAUGGCCUUUCUAAUACCAGUCCUUUAAAGUGGAUUAAAACCAUAGGUGGAUCAACAAUUGCAAAUUUUAUUUUGGUUUGUGUCUGUUUAUGCUGUUUGUUUUUAGUUUACAGAUGCGGACAGCACCUUGGGAGAGAAGUCAGACACCGUAAAUGAGCCAUGAUAGCAAUGGCGGUUAUUAGUCAAAAAAAAUUAAUAAAGACAAAAAAGGGGGACAUGUGAGAAAGAGAGUUAGUGGGGUGCCAGUUGAGUUGGUCUCCCCUGUGUGAGACACACAUGGGAAGCCAUGGGUGGCCUCUGAGGAGAAAAGUCUCCUUAUUGCCUUCAUGUCUUUAUGCCCUGAGAGUAUAACCGCUCAGCGGCAUUCCACGGGUUGCUCAGGGAGGUAACACUCCCUUGAAGCAGUGGAGUAUAAUCAAACAUCUUGGCUCCUCCUGAAACCUGCUACCACCUGUUUCAGUCCCGAUAAGUUCAAGAUCUUAAGUAGUUUAGACACACACCUUUGUUCAAGGACAUUCACAGAAACCACCACUGCUGUACAUCUUAUCGAAUGACUCAUGAGUUCUCCUUCACUGAUUAAUCCUUUUCCUCAUCCCUUCCUCCCCCUCCCAUCUGCCCUAAGAACAAAGGGCUUGUAAACCAAUAAAUUGGGUGAAGCCUGAGAGCUCUGGGCCGUGAGCAAGCCUCCGAUGCUCCAGUUCCCUGGACCCACCUUUUAAAUGCUUAUUCUGUCUCUUUCUAACUCCUUUGCUUCUGCUGGACUCGGGGUACCCACUGGAUGGUGUGGGCUGGUUUCCCCAACAGAGACCAGCCUGACCAAUAUGGUGAAACCCCCAUCUCUACUAAAAAUACAAAAAUUAGCCAGGCAUGGUGGCAGGUGCUUGUAAUCCCAGCUACUUAGGAGGCUGAGGCAGGAGGAUUGCUUGAACCUGGGAGGCGGAGAUUGCAGUGAGCCGAGAUCACACUACUGCACUCCAGCCUGGGUGACAGAGCAAGACUUCAUCUCAAAAAGCAAACAACAACAACAACAACAAAGUGAGACUUUGUGUCUAAAAAAAAAAAAAAAAGUUUCUAAAAACAACAAACCAACCAACUAAAAAACUCAUCACCAACAGCUCAAGUGUAUAGUCCUUCCUAGGCUGCUUCAAAGCAGGCAUAGCAACUAUUAAUAAAUACUUGUUGGAUAAUAAAUAAUAAAACAGAAGGAAUAAUGCUGUAACCUAAGGAAAGGAGCUAGAUAGAUAGCUUUGAACUUCAGGACCUUCCUAGUACCCCUGAGAUUGUCCCACAUGGGUGACCCCUUCUUUAUCUCUAAGUUUAGGUUAGCCCAUGUUAAUGCAGUGCUAUACUGUCAUUCAGUGACCUUUGGAGAAAAUCCAGUAAUUUUAUUUAAAAUGGAGGAAUUAUAUUUAGAGGAAAAGGAGAGAACCAACGAACUGAAAAUUCCAAGUUUCUUUUCGUUGAGCUAAGAGGAUAAAUUAUCUUGUUAUCAGCUAAGGAAGAGAAUAGACUUGGAAAUUGUCCUGCUUCCAAGAGGAUGGUUGAAGAAAUCAAAGAAUGAAGGAGUUACUUGGAGGUCUGCCUGCCCCUUCCUUGUUCAGUUCCAUCUGGCCUUGGAGCCAGGUAAAAAAUAGCUGUUAUCUAGGGGUGUGGAGAAGGUUACCUCUUCAAAUCAUUUAGAUUCUUAGAGCACAAUGGACCUUAAGAUCUCCCCACUAACCCCAACUGCAUUGGCUGCAUGAAGCUGCAGGAGCUGCCUGGGGGGCAUGUCAUAAUAGGGACCCUCUGCUUUGCUUGUCAUGCACUCAGGCUUCAGUGAAGAUGACAGCCCAUCACACACUUCCCACUUCAUGGAGAGGACACCCAGUCCCUCUCUCCAAUCCUAACCUCUCACCCACACUCCUGUCUGCAAAAACCUGAAGGUUAUUUCUGCCUGGAGGAUCCACUGAUAUCUCAGAGUCAAUUUGUCCUAAACUCAAACUACUAUUAUCUUCUCAGAGGCCAUCUCAGAGGUCACCUCUGCCCAAAUCCCCUUCCUUCCCCUCCAGGCAGAGUAAAGCAUUCCUUAUACUUCUGUUUCCUACUAACCCUUUCCUUCUCUGUUCUUGUAUUAGCUAGGUAUUGAGCCUUUGUGCCCUCUCACCAGAGGGGAGGAUCCUUCAGGGAGGAGCUUGUGAAGGAAAGAAAGAAGCAUGGAUUAGAGUGUGACGGGUAGCAUUUAGACACAUUUCUGUCCCCUGCAGUGGGUCAUACCUGUAAUCCUUCUUGCACUUUGGGAGGCCAAGGCAAGAGAAUCACUUGAGUCCAGGAGUUCGAGACUCAACUGUGUAGGCUGGGCAACAUAGUGAGACCCUGUCUCUACAAAAAAUGAAAAAUUACCUGGACAUAGUGGCACACACCUGUGGUCCCAGCUACUACAGAGGCUGAGGUGGAAGGAUUGUUUGAGCCCAGGAGGUCAAGGCUGCAGUGAGCUGUGAUCGUGCCACUAUGCUCCAGCCUGGGCAACAGAGCGAGACCCUGUCAAAAAAAAAAAAAAAAAGAAAGACACAUUUCUUCAACUUCACAAUUUUGGAUAGAGGUGGACUUGAAUACCAGGCCAUCUGAAUUACUGGGGGCAGUUAAAACAGUAGGUUUAAAGGGAUGGUGAUAACAAAUGUUUUCCAAGGGACCCUAUUAUUUAUUUUUAUAUUAAUGUCUUAUAUAUCCAAUUAUAGUUUAUUUUUUUGAAAUGCUUUUCAUUUCUCAUGGAAUUCUGUGCUUUUUGACAUUUGCCUGUGAAAAGUAAGAUUUUUUUUCUCUAGCUUUGUCUCCCAUAGCAGGCUCCUUUCCGAGAGAUGACACUGAAUGAAGGGUCUGGAAACAGAGGACGGAAGUUAUAAAUAGCCCGCAGCACUGCAGCACUGGUCUUGGCCAAUUCCAUGAUCAGGUGCUAAAGAGCCUGCUUUUUCAGUAAAGCAUUUCUAGACACCUCACUGAAAGAUCAACUAAAUAUGAUUUAUCUAGCCACAGAAAGCAAAGUGAGAGAGAAUAUGGCAAAUCCUAAGGAGCUACAAGUGCUCUGUCCUGGUAUUAGGGAUUCCAUUUUCUUUCCUGCCCUCUGUUUACUUUUUUAUUGUUAUUUAUUUAUUUAUUUAUUUGAGAUAGGAUCUUGUUCUGUUGCUCAGGCCGGAGUGCAGCGGUGGAACCAUAGCUCACUGCAGCCUUAAACUCCCAGGCUCAAGCCAUCCUCCAUAUCCUCCCACUUCAGCCUCCUGAUGCGCUGGGAUUACAGGGGCAUGCUACCACAUCAGCUCUGUCCUUUGCUUUUGUGUCCUGUUUCUAAUUUAUUUCUCUUUCUGAUUCUCCUUUUCUCCACCUCCUUCCUUCCCUCUCUCCUCUCUGUCUCUCCCUCGCACUACUUCUCUCUUUUCUUUUUUUUUCUUUUUUCUUUUUUUUUUUUGAGUCUGAGUUUUGCUCUUGUUGCCCAGGCUGGAGUGCAAUGGUGUGAUCUCGACUCACUGCAACCUCUGCCUCCCAGGUUCAAGUGAUUCUCCUGCCUUAGCCUCCCAAGUAGCUGGCAUUACAGGCGCCUGCCACCAUGCCCAGCUAAUUUUUGUAUUUUUAGUAGAGAUCAGGUUUCAUCAUGUUGGCCAGGCUGGUGUCAAACUCCUGACCUCAGGUGAUCCACCUGCCUCGGCCUCCCAAAGUGCCGGGAUUACAGGUGUGAGCCACUGCACCUGGCCUUCCUUCAUCUCUUUCUACUUACCAUCUCUCCUUCUUAUACCUUGCAGGACCCUCCCUGACAAGCUGUGCCACAGGGAUCUCUGGGAGGAAAGACCACCUCCAGAACACCUGUGAGGCCACCUCAGUCCUCGCUGAGCUGAACUGGUGACCCAGACAGCACUAAGGGCAGAGAGCACUGGUCAUGUGCGCAGUUCUAGGGCUUCAGUAUCAACAACAACCUCCUACAUUUAUAGCCUUACCAGUCUGUGGAGCUGAAUCUUCAUUCUCUAUUUGCUGACCUUCCUCGGAGACUUUUGGGUUGGGUUCUGAUUAGAAAAGUCUGGCAUCUAGUAUUCUUUAUUGAUUUAUAGUUGGCUAAUUAUUUCCAUGGUUAAUGUGAAGUGGACGAAGUCUAAGAAAGCUGAUGUUGGCUCCCACUCCUGAUCCUCCCUCUAGACACUCUCAUUCUAUCCCAUUGGUGAAAGUCUACCCUUGUUUGGAAAACAAGUUAUAAGGAAGUAACUCACCACCAAACUAUUUGUUAUUAAGCAUUUCAGGGUUUAAUCCCUCUUGGAGUUUUUUGUUUUGUUUUGUUUUGUUUUGUUUUACUUUUACAGAAGGAGUGGAAAAACUUGGAGUCAGAGGUUCUAUGGGCAAAGGGACCUAGAGACUUUGGGGAAAGUAUUUAGCUCCCUUGAGCCUUGAUUUUCACUUCUGCAAAAGGAGUUGUCAUCUGCCUUUCUCAGAAGCCUCCCAGAAAGUUCAGCAAAUAGAGAAUGAAGAUUCAGCUCCACAGACUGGUAAGGCUAUAAUUGUAGGAUGUUGUUGUUGAUACUGAAGCUCUAGAACUGAGCACAUGACCAGUGCUCUCUGCCCAUAGUGCUGUCUGGGUCACCAGUUUAGCUCAGUGAGGACUGAGGUGGCCUCACAGGUGUUCUGGAGACGGUCUUUCAUGUAACAAACAUGCACAGGUACCCCCGAAUCUAAAAUAAAAUUAAUAAAAACAAAUAGUACUCUGAGGAGUCAUAUUUUUGUAAAUAUGUGCAUGGCCAGCUGGAUGCUACCUGCCUGAGAGGCCAGCACAGGAACAUGGCACCAUGGAGCCCAGCCAAGAAUGCCGAUGCAUCAGUGAGAAGGUGUCAAGCUCUGUGUCAGAGCACUGAAUAGGGUCAGUGGAAUUUGACAAAGGUUUACAGGGGAGAGAGAAAAUGCUCAUCUCAUAGAAACUAUGCUCUAAUAUGCUCUAUGCUCUAAUAUCAGAAAACUCAAUUAUUAUUAUUAUUUUUUGAGACAAGGUCUUGCUCUGUCACCCAGGCUGGAGUGCAGUGGUGCAAUCAUAGCUCACUGCAGCCUUAAACUCCUGGGCUCAAGCGAUCCUCCCACCUCAGCCUCCUGAGUAGCUAGGAAUACAGGUGCAUACCACUAUGCCCAGGUAAUUUUUUUUUCUUUUAAUAGAGAUGGGGUCAGCUGGGAGUGGUGGCUCACACCUGUAAUCCCCGCACUUUGGGUGGCUGAGGCAGGAGGGUUGCUUGAGCUCAGGAGCUCGAGACCAGCCUGGCCAACAUGGCGAAACCCCACCCCUACUGAAAAUACAAACAUUAGCCACGGUGAUGCACACUUGUAGUUCCAGCUACUCGAGAGACCAAAGUGGGAGAAUUGUUUGAACCCAGGAGGCAGAGGUUGCAGUGAGCUGAGAUUAUGCCACUGCACUCCAGCCUAGGUGACAGAGUGAGACCCCAUCUCAAAAAAAAAAUGUUAAUAAAUAAACAAAUAGAGACAGGGUCUCACUAUGUUGACCAGGCUGGUCUCGAACUCCUGGCCUCAAGGGUCCUCCUUGCCUCAAUCUCCCAAAGUGCUGAGAUUACAGGCAUGAGCUACUAUGCCUGGCCUCAGUUUUUAUUAAUAAUAUCAGUUAACCUUUAUUGAGAGUUUACUAAGUGCCAAUCUCUGAGCCAAGGGCCUUCCAUGCAUUAUCUCACUGAAUCCUCUCAAACCUCUAUGAAGUAGUUACUGCUUUUUAAAAACCCUAUUUACAAAAAUGGGGCCUUAGAGAGAUAAAGCAACUUGCCCAACUGCUGUUGAGUAGAAAUCUUAGAUGUGAAUCCAGACAGUUAGGUAUUUUCUCAAUUAGGGUCACAAUAAAGUAGGUAGGUUCUAGACUUGCCCCAGGCACUCCUAAAACCCCAGAGGACACUGAUAGAGGCAUUGCAACUGCGGGACUGAGUCAGUCCCAAAGUCACAUCUCAAGAGGCUGUUCCAGUUCCUGAAAAUGUCUUCCAUUAACAGUGCUGCAAUGAAGAUAAGUGUAUUGUAAUUCGAAGUUCUCCUGAAAUAAGAUAACUCUAAUAGCAGGGAAGGGCCGCCAGGCUGGCACCAGCUUUGAAGUUACCGAAUCCGCCCAUGGUUCAGUCCACAGGCUGAGUUCUCAAGAACCUUUCCAAGUGGCGGAUCUGCUGACUGUGGCAUUAAAAACUGGAAGGCGGCCUGCGAGAAGAUAGAAUGCAAUAGUACAGUCACCUCCUUGCUUCACUCUUUUCCCCUCCACCUCAGCAAGCAGUUCCAACCCAAUCCUUUCCACGAGAAAUCACUGUCCAGAGUGAAGGAGGGAAUGGGGCCCAACCUGGUGAAAUGGGGGCAUGGGAAGGUGGGGCCGUGAUAGAGGCAGGCUCUGUCCUGAGGGAGAACAGCACAGAUGAAUAGGAAGCCAGCAGAGAGCGUCUUCAGAGCCAAAUCCCCACCUCUUUUCCCUUGGCUCUCUCCUCCAGUUUUCCUCUCUCCAGCCUGAUCAAAACCUGUCCUUAAGAAAUCUAAUUCAAGCCUCACCUGGAGCACCAAAAAAUAAAAAAACAAGAAUUGAAUUGGCUGCCUCACUGUAAACCAAAGUCAGAAAGUAGCCCACGUCAGGGCCAGAUGCAGUGGCUCACACCUGUAAUCCCAGUACUUUGGGAGGCCAAGGCAAGUGAAUCGCCUGAGGUCAGGAGUUCGAGACCAGCCUGGCCAAUGUGGUGAAAUCCCGUCUCUACUAAAAAUACAAAAAUUAGCCGGGCAUAGUGGUGCGCACCUAUAGUCUCAGCUACUCAGGAGGCUGAGAUAGGAGAAUUGCUUGAACCUGGGAGGCGGAGGUUGCAGUGAGCAGAGAUCGUGCCACUGCACUCCAGACUGGGCAACAGAGCAAGACUCCCCCAUUUAAAAAACAAACAAAAAAACAAACAAAAAAGAAAAAAAAAAAACAAAACCAGAAAGUAGCCCAUGUGGGUCCUGUACUCUGUUAAAAGCAGCAGUCCCCACCCUUUUUGGCACCAGGGAUUGGUUUUAUGGAAGACAAUUUUUUUCCAUGGUUUUGGGAUGAUUCAAGCACAUUAUAUUUAUUGUGCACUUUAUUAUUACAUUGUCAUAUAUAAUGAAAUAAUUAUACAAUUCACCAUAAUGUGGAAUCACUGGGGAGCCCUGAGCUUGUUUUUCUGCAACUAAACAAUCCCAUCUAGGGGUGAUGGGAGACAGUGACAGAUCAUCAGGCAUCAGAUUCUCAUGAGGAGCGCGCGAUCUAGAUCCCUCUCAUGUGCGGUUCACAAUAGGGUUCAUGCUCCUGAGAAGAUCUAAUGCUGCUGCUGAGCUGACCAGAGGCUCAGCUCAGGCGGUAAAGCAAGCAAAAAGGAGUGGCUGUAAAUACAGAUGUAGCUUCACUCACUCGCCUGCCACUCACCACCUGCUGUGUGGCCAGUUCCUAACCAGUACUGGUCCAUGGCCUGGGAUUUGGGGACCCCUGUGUUAAAGAACUUUUAAGAAUCAGUGAGCAAGUGAAGGGAAAUAGACCAUCUUGUUUAGAAUUGUUUCCUGACUCCUUAAAAUGUGUAAAAUGAAUAAAUUUUGGAGGCCGGAAAGUCAUCCUCAGGACUCUAAAAUUGCACCCUCUGUUGGCCCAGACUGUGGGCCAAUGGGCCACAGUGAGUUAGACAGAACUUCUGAGCAAAGGGUCUUCAUAUGCUGAAAGAUUUCAGGCCUGGCCUAGCAUGGUGGCUCAUGCCUAUAAUCCCAGCACUUUGGGAGGCCAAGGCAGGAGGAUUGCUCGAGGCCAGAAGUUCAAGACCAGCUUGGGCAACAUAGGGAGACCCUGUCUCUACCAAAAAUUUUAAAAACAGGACAUGGUGGUGCACAUCUGUGGUCCCAGCUACUUGGAAGCAGAGGUGAGAGGAUCACUUGAGUCUGGGAGUUUGAGGCUGGAGUGAGCUGUGAUUGUGCCACUGCGCUCCAGCCUGGGCAAUGCAGUGAGACCCUGUCUCAAAAAAAAAAAAAAAUUCAGGCCUGUGAGGACUAAGCCCUGAUUUUUUAUCUUGCCCAAAUUCCUACCUAAGGGGUCUAGGGAGUCAUGCCCUACAAACCAUAAAAUAUCAUCAGAUGGGUUUUAUUUGACCCUAUAUAUUGUGACUUACUUCUCAGUCUGACUCUGGCAUAACAUUAUGAAACAAGGAAAAGAUAUUUAACCCCAAAAUGUAUUUCCUUGCCAUACCUUGAAAUUGCCCUACAAGGUCUCUUGUGGGAAAAAUACACAUCCUAUGGAGAUCCCCUUUCCCCUUUGUUUUUCUUCCUUUCUUUCCAGACCCAGGAGAUAAUCAGCUAAGAGCCAGGUGCCCUUUUAGGUCUGAUAAGAAACAUUUUACAAGAUACUCUCUCUGUCUCUCUGAAGUCUGCCAUCUGACGUAUUCUUCUGCACAAUGAAACUUGGUCUCCACAAUUCUUUAUGUUAACCUGAAAAAUCCUUUCCAUUGAUCCCAGGUCUUCAGAUAAACUCAACCAAUUAUCAACCAGAAAGUGUUUAAAUUUACCUAUAGCCUGGAAGCCACCCCCCUUGAGUUGUACUGCCUUUCUGAACCAAACCAUUGUAUUCUGAAAUGUAUUUGAUUGAUGUCUCAUGCCUCCCUAAAAUAUAUAAAACCAACCUGUACCCGACCACCUUGAGCACAUGUUCUCAGGACCUCCUGAGGGUUGUGUCAUGGGCCAUGGUCUCCAUUUUUGGCUCAGAAUAAAUAUCUUCAAAUAUUUUA